rnacentral:misc_RNA from 1 species
CCGCGAAACCCUUUCAUGGCGGAGUGUUGUACCGCGAAAGGAAAAUAGCAGUAAUACGUUGUCAAUGGAUGAUGUUUGGUGAACGAAGUUAUACAAACGGGUACCUAGGAUACUAAGUUAAUGUCAGAUUAUGAUGGUAGCCGCUUCCACGCCGAGCAGCAUGGAUCUGACAGUCCUCUUGACAACGCUCGAGUCCAAGAAAAGCAAUCUGGAUGAUAAGAUCGAAGCCUACACAACUCUCUCAACACACUUGCGAGAAAAUGAGUUGAGUUUUAUCAGCCUUGACCUGACAAAACAGACUGACCGAGUGUUGUCAGUGCUGAAGAAGGAUGUUCAGAAUGAGUCCAACGCUGUCCGCCAGGGGGCGCUGCAGGUGCUCGGCUUCUGUCUCCACGAUGCAGAAAUAGUCAGGUUCCUGAAUCCGGCCACCAGCUGCGAGCUCCUCACACUGCUGCGACAAUGUGUGGAGAAGACAGAGGACAAGACGACCGCCACUCGGGCACUGUGGUGUCUCAGCAAACAGACUCUAGCUGAAGCCGUUGUCGUCAAGGAGCUGCCGAUGUUGCUGGCCACGUGUGACCUUGCCUUCACCAAGUGGAAGAACCAGUCGACUGCCGUGGAAUACGAAGCCCUCAAUGUUGUCACGAGGCUUGUGGAGCAGACUCCCUCUGAGAUGAAGUCCAGUUGUCUGAAGUGGGCCAAGCUGGUCGUACCUCUUGUUGCUCACCCCGCCAUCAAGAUCCGCGAGAGAAUCCUCCCGCUGCUGGACACGUGUCUACCCUGGAUGGUCGGUGUUAAGGAGCUGAGGACCGGGCUUGUCCAGGACUUCAGAACUAAACUAUGUCUGGAGUUAAAGAAACUAUUCCAUGGCAACGAGAUAUACGUGCUAAAAGUGUGGAGAUUUCUGGUGAAGCUUUUCGGAGAAGAACUCCACCACGGGAGCUUCAUCAACCACAUGCUGCCGCUGGCAGAGCUGGGCUUCAAACACGCCCUGGCCGAGGUGAAAAUAGAGGCCUUCAAGUCCUGGAAACACCUCAUCGACAACUUUGCACUUAAUCCAAGCAUAAUUAGUGACCCAAAGAGGAUAAAACUCAUAAUGCAAGUUUUCAAAAUCAAUAAUGCCAAAGUGGAAAGUGUUGCCAUGGAGAAGCUUCAAAUAUGGUGGCAUUUUGUCAAAGCUCUUGGUCCGAAAAUAUCCCAAAACUUCGACCAGGUGGUGGUUCCGCUGCUCCACUUCUGUAUUGGGGGCAACAGGAACAGCCCUGCCAACUCCAUGACGCCGACAACGCCACACAUGGGUCUGAAGAAUGCUUUGUCCAGUCCUGCCACUCCCCGCCUCAAUCUGACUGUCAGCAGCCCCGGCCUGUCCCGCCCCGUCUUCCCCACACUGCAACUCCGGGGCUGUGACAUCCUCGCCCACGUCCUUGUGUGUCCAAGCAAGAUGUCGGAUCUCCCCAGGGUCAGCUUUUCACUCGAUGGUCUGGCAUGUGAAGUGGUCAGCGGGACGCCCAUGUUCCUGAAACAUGCCUCUGUGAUAGUGUCCAGUAGUCUUGACCUUGUCUGUGCCCAGGGACCUCACAUACCAGAGUCCCACCUGAUGUUCAUUUGGCAGUGUCUGCUGUUCCACCUCCGUUCCGCCAUCGAGUCAUCCUCGCGGUCUGAGAAUAGAGAAGCUCUGUCCAGCUUUCUCGGACACUUCCAGACACUCGUCUUCAGCCAGAGUCUUCCCCCCAAAACUGUCAUGAAACUAUUUCAUCCUGUGUGUAACUUGCCCCAAAAGGCACUGGCAUCAACAGCGUACAACAUCAACAGCGGCAAGGUCGUACGGGGGACACCGGCUCUGUUCCUGUGUGAAGUUCUGCUGGCACCAACCCUUCUCAAAGAUUUGGCCAGCUCAGAAAAUUUCAUCAGCCUGUUUUCGACUCUGAUCAACUGUGGGACCAGUACUGUCACCGGAGUUCUGGAGUUCUGCCAGGCAGUGACCAACGUCGUCAACGAACAGGCUUCCUUCAUCACCAACCCUGACGCUCUCUGGAGGCUCUGGAGCAUCCUCGCCAACACAUUGCAGGAACAUAUUGUCAAGACAAACGAGGUGAAUCAAGGCGACUCCCUGGAAUACAACUUCGACUCCUUGUACACGGUCUUGUUGUUCCCUGUCAAAAACAAACUGGGGACCCGACUGACACAGCCUAUCUGCAAGUCACUGCUGAAGACGUGGGGAGAGUUGUACAGGAGUUUUGCUCGUCUCUCAGCCCUCGUGACAACUGCAGAGGCCAACAUUGCUUGUGAAGAAUUUUGCCAAAAAGUCCUCCAGUGUCUUGAAGACGAGUCGUGGAAGGAGAGCGGAGUGUUGGAGUUCGUGGCUCAGAUGUGUCAGGUUGUGAUUGACAAUGUCGACUUCUCGUCACUUGGGACCGGCAGCGGGUUUGCUCAUGGAGCUUCUCUGAGUCCGUCAAAAUGGAUCAAGCGGAAGAACAAGCCAAUGGAGAAUCUCCAGUCCUUCAUUAAGUUGCUGGUCCACCUGGUGGAGAAUCUCGCGGAGUUGACAGAGUCAGGGGAGACAACUCUCACUGCCAAGCAGAAACCGGCAAAUGUGACUGCAGGUGCCACGCUGCUGGUGGACGUGUUGGCGACGUUGUUCACACACAUCAACGUGUCGACCAUCAUCGCACGGAUGCUGGGGCAGCUGGCCACGCCCACUUCCUGGUUCUUCUCCGCGUCCAGCAGGAAGACGUGCAGCAGGCUCUUUAACGCAGCGUUCAUGCAGAAGGUGGAGAAGCUGUGGCUGGAUAUUUCCACCUGCAUCCAGAGUCGCUACACCAUGCAGUAUGACACGGAGUUCCUGGCGUGUGUGUCGCCGCUGCUGCAGGAGACGUUGUUGCACCCGCGCCGACAGAUCAAGAACCAGUCUCUCAUUCUGUGGAAGGCCACCUUCAGUCACGCAGCCCCGCUCACCUACCCAGAAGAACUCAAGCCCGUGUUGAUGAAGGUGAAGGAGAAGACGCCUAUCAUGCUGCCGGGGUGGGUGCAGACGGACACCAACGUCAUUGAGGAGACACCCUUCAGCCAGUACAGCCAGAUGGACUCAUUCGCCCCCGAUGCCCGUCUCCCUGGGCUCCCCUCCCCACACAAGAUCGUGGGCAGCUUCAUGCAUAAGGCUGUGUCCCCCAAUAUAAAGAAGUCCCCCGCCAAACUGCCACCUCCUGAUGUCCGGCCUGUCGGUUCCGCCAAGAAGAAGCUCUCUGUCAACGACUUCAAAGAGGAGGACUUUGUGAUCAUCAAGACGUCUCCCAAGAAGAAGCGAGUUUUAACAGAGCACCAGAAGGAGGUGAUGAAGGAGAGGAGGACAAUCCCGGUGAUGUACAACAACCUUGACCUCUCCCAGGACGUGUCGCUCAUGGCCUCGCAGUUCAACACUGACACACAGCAGGAUUCCAUCAUGAUGCAGACACAGCCACCGUCGGAAGAUUCAGUCAUAGUCAUAAAUUCAAGCCAGUCACAAAACCUCGAACACGACAAGAGUAAAUCCUCUGUGCCCAAAUCUUCAAGCACGGAGUCUCUUGCGGAUGAUCCCACGUCUGAUGUGAAGAGAGGACGCAGGCGACGGUCAGUCCGAUUCAGCAAUGAUGACAGCCAGGAGAAGGAGGGAGAGAAGGCGGAGAUGAAGAGCCCCCCCAGUGCAACCCCAACUCUCCGGUCACUCAGGUCGAGGAAGGAUACAAAACAGUCUGACGAGGAUCAGAAGUCAAAUGAGAAAGAACUGACAUCAACAGAAAAGAAAUCCACCAAGAUUGAUUGUGAAAAUUCAAAAGAUAAGGAGGCUGACAAAGAUUCAAGAUCAAAAGUGACUAAAGAUGCUGAGUUGGUCAGUUCAAGCGUUAAUAUCGACUCCAGUGACCCCUCACCGAGUCCCUCCUUGAAGCAGAACCUCAUGCACGCGCUCGGAGAUCAGUGGUUGAAUACCCUGAAAAGUACAUCAAGUUCGUCCCUGGGGAAAAGUGAUUCUUCAGAGGAGAGCAGAUGUGGGGAAGAAUCGGUGAGAGAAUCGGGGAAUUCUACAAGCAGCUCCCAGAAUUCACAGGAAGGAAGUGGGGAACAUUUCAGUCCAUUCAAGUCAAUCAGUCAGUCGCCACCUGAACGGAAGUCAAGGUCACCGGGGAGGAAGACUCUCAGCCAGGAGGUGACAAGUUCCGCGAAAUCACCCACUAGGAGCCGGGAUCGUAGUAAAAGUUCUCAAGCUGGUAGCUUAGAUAAAUGGUUGGUGAAGUCGCCAGCCAAAGGUAAAAGUUGUGUGAUAGAUGCCAAGUCUCCGGAGGACUCAUUCGUUCCAGAUACUCAGUUGUCGACCACAAUGGAGGUGUCCCUGUUACACUCUGUAGUUGAAGAUACAAUGUCUCCUUCGAAGGGCAAGCAUAUGGCAAACAAGUCGUCACACUCAUUCGUUGAAGACACACAGUCUCCCUCAAAGUUUAGUCAAAAGAAUUUGUUCUCCCCAGAUAUUAAUGCUUCGAUUGAGGAGACUCCAGUAAAAGAUUCAUCCAAUAUUCUGCCCGGUCCGUUAUCACUACCCUCAAGUCGCAACUUGUUCGGGGAAUGUGACAAGGUUGCAAGUCAGGACCAAGAAUCGGAUGACAAAGAGACGGACGUUAAGCUCGGCACGCCUGUUUUGAAAAUCAAGAAGCUGACAACUGAAGAGAUCAGUGUGCUGUCCCAUGGAUCUCCCGAAAAGGCAGUGUCAAAAGCUCUGUUCAAAGAACCGUUGUCAGUUUGUGAAGGUGGCACGUCGGAAGGCAAGGAUGUUCCGUGUUCUCAAGGGUUUCCGACAGCAGAGACAAGUGAGGACCAGGAAACUAUGGAAUCCCAGUUCAGUCCUGUGUUUCCAAGGAUAUCGAGUGAGAGACCAGACUCUCAGAUAUCUAUCAAUUCUGAUCCUGAGUUGCCUGGCAUUUUGAGCUUUGGACAAAGAGAGGAGUUGAUAAAUGCAUCAAGUUCAUCCUCAAACUACAGCGUCAGUGUCCUCAAUGCCGAUUCGGUUAAAAGUAGUUCUCAAGAUUCUGCUUCUCAAAAUUCUGGGUUAUCCAAAGACAAAGAGGUGGGUCUGGACGCAGGGGACAAAUUUACAGAAGAGCUGUUCGAAACAUGUCCAACUGACACAGUGGAUGCAUACAACCCGGACUCAGUAUCUACUUUGAAGGAAGGGUCAUCCCAGAGUACGACAGAUUCAAGCAGCUCUCAGAGCACCAGCUCCAGCCAGAGCUCACAAGCAAGUGCAGUGGAGACUGUUCUGUCUGAAGGGUCGUACAAGGUCGACCUUGUGUCCACUCUGGCUGAAGAGCCUGCGUCAAGGAGGAGGAAGCAGGAUACGCCGAAGAAGAUGGGUCUGGAAGAUUUGAGGAGGACUCCGAGACAGAGGAAGAAGAAGACGUUCGAUGGUUUUGAGGUUGAUGGAAUCUCCAAGUCUGAGAGUUCGACUGAGAGUACUGCUUCCAGAAAGGUUGGUAGACCACCUAGUGCGAAGAAGAGGCUGGAGAAGUCUUCUGAGGAUAAUGAGAGCUCUCAGGAGAAGGGUGCUGAGAAGGAGGAAGAUGUGUUGGUAAAUGGAAAAGAGGAAGUGAAGAAGAAGGUUGGACGACAAAGAAAAGGAUUGAAAGAAAUUGACCAGAGUGACAGUUCUCAGGAGAAGAUUGUUGAGAAAGAGGAAGAUCUGUUGCUUAUUGGGAAUGAGGAGAAGGGGAAGAAGAAGGGUGGACGACGAAAAGUUGAUAUUUCUAGUUCACAGUCAGGGGAGGACAGUCAGGAAAAGAAUGAACCCAGAAGAGGAAGAAAACGAAAAGCUGAUGAGGAAGAGGAUGAGGAAGAAGAUGAUCUUCCUCUUUCUCAACUUAGUCAAUCAAAGUCCGCAUCGAAGAGGCAAGGAAGAAGUAAAACUGAUUCAGAGGAAGCUGAAGAGAAGACAAAAGAAGCACCCAAGAGGAAGAGAACGAGGAAGAGCCUAGCUGCUGAGAUGACAGAGUCUGAAAACCUUGAGUCUCAAAGGAGGAAGUCACAGAGUAGCCAGGAGUCCGUGGAUGUAUUGGAUCAGGAGAAAGCUGAUUUGGGCCAGGACUGUAAGCAGAAGGAAGGGGUCGAUUCUAUCGCUGAUGUUGAUGGGGAGACCAAAUCUGAUUCCCAAUUGAAGCAGGCUAGGAAUCCAGUUCAGGCUGUGACUGCAGCCUGUCUAGGAAGCUCUAGUUCCAGUUCUGGAGGUGAUGCUUCUGCUCCCUCUCAGGGAAAGAAACCGAGAAGGAUUCAACCCCAGAUGGUUGAACCGAGUCAGGAAAUGAUUCAUCCUGCAUUUACAGGUGCUCCAAAAGACUCACCAAUUAUUUUGGAGGAAAACCUGAGCGAGAAUCCUGAAAGUACUGAUUCAAAGGAGAGUGAUAGACAGACAGAGGAAAGUCAACAAGGAACAGAAGUUAUUAUUGUAGGAAUGGAGUUUGACAGUUCUAAAUCUCUAAAUGAGCAGACACCAGAAGAAUGCCAGAUGUCUAGUGAGGACAUUUCCAAGGAGGGAGAGCAGACGCCAUCUACCAAGCCGUCCCCAGCCCCUGUAAGGCGGAGUACCACCAAACAGAAGAUUGAAGCCGCAAGGAAAAGGUCAAUUUCCAAAAUGUCAGACAAAAAUUCGGAGGAUUUGAGUGUCGAAGAUGCAAAUGAAUGGACGGAGAGCAAAUGCAGCGCGGCAAAAACAGCUCUGAUACAGGAAAAGAAGAAUAAGGAUAUCAAAGAAAGUGAUAAACUUGACAGUCAGAUAGAUGUUAUUGAGCCGUCACAGGCUCAGAAUAAGUCCCUGUUUGUUAAUCUGGACCUGUCGUUUUGUAAGGACUCGCCUCGGGCAGUGGAGCAUGACAAAAUCAAGGGGAAGGUGGAUGAGAUAAUAAGUAGUUUGGCAAGCCCAGUAGCCCCCGGCAAGGCAGCUCCUCGGGGCAGUAAACGAAAGAGGAACAUGUCGAAGUUGAAAGUGUCCUCUCCGGUGAGUGUACGACUGCGGUCCUCGAAACUGGUUCUACGAGCAAGAGCCAAAUUAGCAGGUAAAUCUGUGUCCAGGGUUUCACCUUUAACUGUGGUUAGAACAAAGAACAGAGCAUCUCCCAGACCGAAGAGACUUUUGGAAGAAAUAGAUUCAAAAAUAGAAAUGGAAGUUGAGGACACAAAAUGUACAUUUAAAACAGAGGAUGCAGAUGGUGUGACUAGCAAUUGUGAUGUGGUUGCCAUGGCAACAGUUGAUAAUUCUGGUAGUGCUGUAGAAACUGAAAGUGGUUUGGAACAAAUUGAAAUUGGUUCAGAAAAAACUGAAAUUGGUUUAGAGCAAGAUAAAACUGUUUCCCCAAAAAAAUUAACUGGUUUAGAGCAAAAUGAAACUAGUUUAGAAAAAGAAACUAGUUUAGAAAAAGAAACUUGUUUAGAAAAAGAAACAAGUUUAGAAAAAGAAACUGAUUUAGAAAAAAAUGAUACUGGUUUUGGUGCAACUGAAACCGGUGGUGAUAUAACAAGUCAUGCUAGUGCUCCUGUUCGACCCAAGAUUGAUUCUCUAAAUGAUACCCCAAGGAAAUCAGCCGAAAAACCCAAACGCAAAGUGAUCCAUGCCCAUCGUGGCUUUUCCGAUUCCAAAGUGCUGAGCUUGAACAAAAUCCGGGCAAGGAACCGGUUGGCUGAUCGUGGAAUGAGUAUCGUGAGGCGCAGUAUACUGAAGCAAAAGAAUUCGAGCGAAAACAGCAGCCCCUCAAAGAGGCCAUGUGACCCUGACUUUCAGCCAAUCAAAGUGUUCCAGUUUCAUUCACCGAGUGCCUCCCCGAGCGCUGGGAUUCUGAAGAAGCGGCGCCUGAACUCCGACAUCCCAGUCAACUCUCCCUCCCCACCUUCCAAGCGGCGGGUUUCGUUUGCCGAGCCUAUCAUCAGCGGAGAAAGCCCUCAUCGUGGUGUCAGCCUUGACCUCAUCAAGUCCCGGAGUGCAGCAGGAAAGCAACUGUUCACUUUCCCCCGAAGACCUGCCAGCAGCCUGCGUGUCAUCGCCCCACUCAGCAGACCCAAGAAGACGGUUGUGGACAGUGGAGACUCACAGCCCAGCCAGUCACCGGUCAGCCAAUCACCGGUCAGCCAAUCACAGGCAAGCUACCGGAGCACGCAGGAGUCGCAACUGAACAGCUCCGACCCCGUCUACCCGGAUUUGAUUGGCUGCACCGAGUCCGUCACAAAGGUUCUGCCCCAACUGACGUCAUCUGUCUGGUCGCGCGGUCUGGGGCAGCUCGUGAUGGCACGCAACAUCCACACUGUUGGAGAUCUCAGCAAACUGACAGAGGUCGACAUCCACAAUCUCCCUAUCAGGUCACCAAAGGUCGUCACUGUGCGCAGAGUUCUGCAUGACCUUGAACAGCACCUUGAGGUCAAAAGGUCAAAGGAUGUCAAGGCCACAGAUUCGGAGUCGGAUCAAGAGGACAAGGCUGAAAGUGCAGUUUUCAAAGUACCGAGCGUGACCCCCAUGCAGUCACUGGAUACAAUAGAGGAGGACGGCGAGACGGAAACGAAGGAGCCCCGUGAGGAGGAACCCGACUCCCUCCCUGACAUGGAGGUCGCUCUUGAUGAACUCGUGCCCAGAAACGCGGAUGACGAACUUAACAGCAGUAUUGAAGCGGAGCCUGAAGGGACAGUGGAGAGUGCAAUCGAGUCAUGUGACCAACCAAAUAGCCAAUCACAGAGCACAGCCAGUUCUAGCCAAUCAGAUUCAGUGUUUCUAACAGACUCAGUAGCCGAUGCCCAAAGAGGGCCUACACAGACUCUGGAACUUGUUUCAACUGCUGUCAGUGCUGAAGAUCAUGGUGCCAAUCUUGCAAAGGUUCUGGAAUCUCUUGUGAAAGAAAAUGACUAUAAGCGUCUCCAGAAGAUGAGGACUGGAGACCUCUUCCAGGUUCAUCAGCACCUCACACAUCUGUCAAACAUUGUUGUCACGGCGAUGAAGAGUCGAUGCCAUUCGCCCACUAAUUCCCAGUGAGUCGUUGAUACUGGGGAUCGGGGGGUUAGGAUGACCGGAAAAGCAACUUCGCAUCACUAACCAGUCUUCAGAUGACAGGAUGGUUUGAUGGACAACGAGCUCAACUAUCGUAUUAUAUUAUGCCAAAUCUUUCACAAAAGUACACAUGGAGUCGCGACCAAGGUUACAAGAAUUGUAUCAGAACAGAAUUAAUUGGUUAUUAUGUUGAAAGUAGUUCUAAAGUGAUUUUUCUUACGGUGCAAGAUUCAAAAUAUGUUUAUAUAUUUUUUGUCAGAUUGGUCAUUGACUGUUGUUGAAAUACAAGACCAACAAAGGACAACCUGGAUAUUCAGUUCUAUACAUGGACCCAUUCGUUACACACGUUUGUUUGAAAGUGACAACACCGUUGCCAAUAUUCUAAUCUGUGGCAGAUUAUCCCUGGCACAGGAGUGUGAUUUGAUGCAAGGCUAUUUCAAGGAUGGCAUGACAGUAUAUAGGUCAAAUGAUUGAAACACUGGUAUGACAGUAUAUAGGCCAAAUGAUUGAAACACUGGUACAUAGUGCCAAAGGGGGCACCUGUUGCCCACUCAUCUAGGGCACCUGUGUUCACUGUGCAGAGUUACAUCCCUUUGGUGUGCCAGGAACCUAUGAUAAUUUGCCCUAAGGUUUGUUGCACCAUGUCGGUGAUUGUGUGUUUAAUUAAAGUGUAAACGUCUAAGACCUGCAUCACUUUGGCUUUCCACCCACCUUUAGCUGACUCACUGUGACAAAACUGAAAUACUGUCCAAAACGGCCUCAAACCUCCCAACUUUAGCAAUGUAGAUUGGUGCUCACACUAUCAACCACUGGUUUUGUCAGGAUUUAGUCUCCUCAGUGGAUUGAUUCACCAGACAUUUAUUCACUGUUCAGGGUUAGAACUAAACUCAAAACGUUUUACUAGCCCGAUAAAUAUAACUUGCACUGUUAAAACAAGGUGGAAAUUGUGAAUUUGUACUAGCCCACAGCAAUUUGUGCUAGCCUCAGACUAGCGGGUAGUGUUAAAUCUAACCCUGCAGUGUUGAUGAUAUUUCAAGAUUUAAUGUACCGUUAUUUAUUGGAGUGAUUUUAAUAGUUUUAAUCUUAGUUCUGUGGUCGGCAUGAAACGUCCAUCAGACGAAGGAGGACUUUUCAGUUGCAUGUCUUUGUCAAUCAUGAUUCUGGAGAGUUAAGUGGAUUUAAGAAGAAUUAUUUUCAUCCAGUUUUUUUUUCUAUCAAUUUUGAUACAGGUUAAGAGGAAUAAAUAUGCAUCAUUAGAAAUAUUUAUUAGAUGUGUGGGCGAUACCUUCAAUGCUUCUCUGGUUUCUAUGCACCAUGUUCCUCCAUCGCGAGUGAAAACAUGGCCGCUGUGAAGAGUACUCGUGGUAAGCAUACCUGACUUUAGUGUCGUAAUGAAAUCAGACCACAUACAGUGUAUAGCCUCUACUGGUGUGAGUGCCACCAUCUCCUGCCAUGAGGGACUGACCAGGUCAUAUUCUGGGGAGGGCUGGGUGUGGGGGAAUUUUAUCGGGAAAAAGAAUUUGUCUGCCACAGAAAGUACAUUGUUACAAGAGGAUCAUAAUUGAAAACAUUAAUCAGCUGUUGAUGAAUAACUAUCUGGUCGAAAUCCCUAGCCCAAGGAUAUCAAAUAGUCAGUCCCUUCAGUACUGUAUUGAGCAGAUGGCUGUAAGGCUUGGCACAUAUUGCACAGUUGUUGAUUGAUUGAUUGAUUGAUUGACAUGCUGGGUCCAGGACUUGAUUGAUUGAUUGAUUGAUGGACAUGCUGGGUCCAGGACUUGAUUGAUUGAUUGACAUGCUGGGUCCAGGACUUGAUUGAUUGAUUGAUUAAUUGAAGUACAUGAUGGGUCCAGGACUUGAAUGAUUGAUUGAUUGAAGUACAUGCUGGGUCCAGGACUUGAUUGAUUGAUGGAUUGAAGUACAUGCUGGGUCCAGGACUUGAUUGAAUGUUGAUUGAAUCUUUUCUUAUUCUUUUGUGAGAUUCCAAUGUUCCUGACAGAGGACGGGUGAUAAGGAACAGUGUAUACACCUGUGAAGUGCUGACCAUAUGUGGCCAAGUCCGUUUUGAACCUGGACUGACCCUUGGCGUUGGAUCUAGGUGGAGACCUGAGACCAUUUCAUUCAGAAUCGAGUGGAAAACUUCAUGGAAUAACUAAAGAAAACCCGCUCUGAAAUUCUUUUCACUAAGGAAAACAAAUAUAGUUUUCUGCUAUUUUUGAUUGGUAAGCAAGUGUUAAACAUUCCAAUUGCCCUUGGGAAAUAUUUGCAGCCACAUGUGCAAGUUAAUUAUUCACUGAUUCCCCGAGGAAGUAAUGGGGUUCUCUGUCAUGGUGUCAGGGUGUGAAGACUGUUGGUCAGGGUGUGAAGACUGUUGGUCAGGGUGUGAAGACUGUUGGUCAGGGUGUGAAGACUGUUGGUCAGGGUGUGAAGACUGUUGGUCAGACUGUUGGUCAGGGUGUGAAGACACAAUAAGUGUCCAAUUAUCCAUGAUAAUUCUUGCUUUUGUUCACACUUUUCAUUGUUUUAUCAUUUUCAUUGUUUUUAAUCACAAAAGCCACAAUUUCAGAGAAAAUCAUCUUUUACAGAUCAACUUACAUUGAAAGUGAUUUUGCUUGUGACGAAUGGCACAAGGACAUUCUUGUGAUUUUAUAAACUUUGCACAGGCCAUCCUGUAGGACAAUGAACCAAUCUGAAACCCUGCAUUAAUAUCAAAUUUAAGCUUAACUACAUCAACUCUGUGAUGAAGUCUUUCACAGGCAUUUAGAAGUUGGAAGUACAGGAAUACAUGCCAUGUUUUCAUGGAUGACAACUGCCUUGUUCCUGGUCCUGUACCGUGUCCAAAGUUGUGGCCAAGAUACACUAAGAAAGACAUUGAAGUAUGAUGCUGUCCAUAGCCACAAUCAAUCAUUUAGUGAGGAAGAACCACCAUAUUUUAUUACCAUUCAUCCUACUAGAACUUGAUUUUACCCAUUUCACAGCAUUGAAGUGCUGAGUAUUGAUUUGAGUGCUGAUUAUAUCAACAUAUUCACAUUUCUUUCAGUGAUGGUAACCUCAUUAAGUGAGAUUGGGAUACUGAAACAUUUCAUAGUGUGAUGUUUUGUUUUUGGUCGUUUAUUGUUUAACGCACUCAGCAAUAUUCCAGCUAUAUGACGGUGGUCUGUAAAUAAUUGAAUCUGGGCCAGACAAUCCAGUGAUUUACAUCCUGAGCAUCGA